rnacentral:rRNA from 1 species
GCCCAGCGCAUAACCUCGCGGUUCGAGCAGAGCCGUCGAGGGGUGUUGCGUAUCGGUGGAUCCGUGCCGUCCGCGCCGUACCACCUAAGUACCCAUUUGAGUUGCAGCUCCAAGGAGGGUGGCAGACCCGUGUGGUGGCGCCCGCAAGGGCUUAUACGGCGCGAGCGGAGGGAUCGUUACACCGGAGAGUCGGGUUGCUUAAUAUUGCAGCCCUAAGAGAGGUGGUAAACUCCAUCUAAGGCUAAAUAUAACCACGAGUCCGAUAGGCAACAAGUACCGUGAGGGAAAGUUGAAAAGUACUUUGAAGAGAGAGUUCAUAAGAAUGUGAAGCCGUUAGAAGCUAAAACGGGUGGAACUGCGAAGGACGAACGAGGGUACUCAACUCGUGAUUGCCGGCAGGGUGGCUGGUGCCUAGGCGCCGAGAGUAAAUGACCAUAGCGCGCAGGCACUGCCGCCCCAAGUUUGACGGUGCUGGCAGGACGGGCGUAGUUGUUCCCUCUAGUAGUAUUUACCACGACGCAGCGAGCCGUCUGCGGGAGCCAGGAGGGCCGAUCUUGACGUACCGGACUGGUACCCUCGGGCAAAGAGGGGAAACCGGCGUGCGCUGGACUAUGCCUGGCUCUUUAGCGCGACGGCUAGCUGAGGGGGGUCUCYGCUUUUGCGGUGGCGGCCCCUCGCUGUGGAGUAGCGGUGAUCCACCUGACCCGUCUUGAAACACGGACCAAGGAGUCUAACCUGUGCGCGAGUCUAAGGGUCCCUUGAGACCCGGAGGCGCAAUGAAAGUGAGCGAAUUUCUCCGUGAGGAGAGUUCUAUGCUGGCCGAUCCCUGCUCUCCGGAGUGGGGCGCAGGCCGAGGACUCGCCGCUAAGCGGCCGGCAGCUGCGGCCUCGUCUGGCGCAAGCGGGACGGGGCUGGGCGGGCGGUCCGCUGGCGAGUACCUUGUUAGCGUACACGUUGGGACCCGAAAGAUGGUGAACUAUGCCUGGCCAGGACGAAGCCAGAGGAAACUCUGGUGGAGGUCCGAACCAGUUCUGACGUGCAAAUCGAU